CGCACCUUGCGCUCCUUGGUAUUCCGAGGAGCAUGCCUGUUUGAGUGUCAUGGAAUUCUCAACUCCCUAUUUUUAUUAAUGGGCGAGCUUGGACUUGGAGGUCGUGUCGGCUCAUGUAGUCGACUCCUCUUAAAUGUAUUAGCGUGAAUCUUACGGAUCGCCUUCAGUGUGAUAAUUAUCUGCGCUGUGGUGUUGAAGUAUUUUAUAGUUCGUGCUUACAAUCGUCUCGCAAGAGACAACUUUGACAAUCUGACCUCAAAUCAGGUAGGACUACCCGCUGAACUUAA
rnacentral:misc_RNA from 1 species